GACGAACGCUGGCGGCGUGCUUCAUACAUGCAAGUCGAACGAGGUCCAACUGGUAGCAAUACCGGUGAAGACCUAGUGGCGAACGGGUGAGUAACACGUGAGGAACCUGCCCCGAAGACCGGGAUAACAGUGGGAAACCGCUGCUAAUACCGGAUACCCCCACCGGAUCGCAUGGUCUGGUGAGGAAAUGGAUUCCGCUUCGGGAGGCCUCGCGGCCUAUCAGCUUGUUGGUGGGGUAANGGCCUACCAAGGCGACGACGGGUAGCUGGUCUGAGAGGACGAUCAGCCACACUGGGACUGAGACACGGCCCAGACUCCUACGGGAGGCAGCAGUAGGGAAUCUUGCGC
rnacentral:rRNA from 1 species